ACUCCGUACGGGAGGCAGCAGGUGGGGAAUAUUGCACAAGUAGGGGAAACCCUGAUGCAGCCAUGCCGCGUGUGUGAAGAAGGCCUUCGGUUGUAAGACACUUCUAGUAGGGAGGAAGGUAGUGUAGUUAACACCUGCAUUAUUUGUACGUUACCUACAGAAGAAGCACCGGCUAACUCCGUGCCAGCAGCCGCGGUAAUACGGAGGGGUGCGAGCGUUAAUCGGAAUUACUGGGCGUAAAGCGCAUGCAGGCGGCCUGUUAAGUCAGAUGUGAAAGCCCGGGGGCUUAACCUCGGAAUUGCAUUUGAAACUGGCAGGCUAGAGUCUUGUAGAGGGGGUAGGAAUUUCAGGUGUAGCGGUGAAAUGCGUAGAGAUCUGAAGGAAUACCAGU
rnacentral:rRNA from 1 species